GGACAACUGCCCUUAGGUUGGGUAUAAACCCGGGAAACUGGGUAUAAUACCCGAUAGGUCUCGAUUGCUGGAAUGCAUCGAGAUUUAAAGCUCCGGCGCCUAAGGAUGGGUCUGCGGCCUAUCAGGUAGUAGUGGGUGUAGCGUACCUACUAGCCUACGACGGGUACGGGUUGUGAGAGCAAGAGCCCGGAGAUGGAUUCUGAGACACGAAUCCAGGCCCUACGGGGUGCAGCAGGCGCGAAAACUUUACAAUGCUGGCAACAGCGAUAAGGGAACCUCGAGUGCCAGGUUACAAAUCUGGCUGUCGAGAUGCCUAAAAAGCAUUUCAUAGCAAGGGCCGGGCAAGACCGGUGCCAGCCGCCGCGGUAACACCGGCGGCUCGAGUGGUAACCGUUAUUAUUGGGUCUAAAGGGUCUGUAGCCGGCCGGAUAAGUCUCUUGAGAAAUCUGGCAGCUUAACUGUCAGGCUUUCAGGAGAUACUGUCUGGCUCGAGGCCGGGAGAGGUGAGAGGUACUUCAGGGGUAGGGGUGAAAUCUUGUAAUCCUUGAAGGACCACCAGCGGCGAAGGCGUCUCACCAGAACGGACCUGACGGCAAGGGACGAAAGCUAGGGGCACGAACCGGAUUAGAUACCCGGGUAGUCCUAGCCGUAAACGAUACUCGCUAGGUGUCGGCCACGGUGCGACCGUUGUCGGUGCCGUAGGGAAGCCGUGAAGCGAGCCACCUGGGAAGUACGGCCGCAAGGCUGAAACU
rnacentral:rRNA from 1 species